rnacentral:rRNA from 1 species
UUUCUGGUUGAUCCUGCCAGAGGUCACUGCUAUCGGGGUUCGAUUAAGCCAUGCGAGUCGAGAGGGUUCGGCCCUCGGCGUACUGCUCAGUAACACGUGGAUAACCUGCCCUAGGGAAGGGGAUAACCCCGGGAAACUGGGGAUAAUACCCUAUAGAUUACAGAUGCUGGAAUGCCCUGUAAUCCAAAGUUCCGACGCCCUAGGAUGGAUCUGCGGCCGAUUAGGUUGUUGUUGGGGUAAUGGCCCAACAAGCCCGUAAUCGGUACGGGUUGUGGGAGCAAGAGCCCGGAGUUGGAUUCUGAGACACGAAUCCAGGCCCUACGGGGCGCAGCAGGCGCGAAAACUUUACAAUGCGGGCAACCGUGAUAAGGGAACCUCGAGUGCCUGUAAAUGCAGGCUGUUCAGGUGCCUAAAACACACCUGAAGAAAGGGCCGGGCAAGACCGGUGCCAGCCGCCGCGGUAAUACCGGCUGCUCGAGUGGUGGCCGCUUUUAUUGGGCUUAAAGCGUUCGUAGCUGGGUCGUUAAGUCUCUUGGGAAAUCUGGCGGCUUAACCGUCAGGCGUCUAAGGGAUACUGGCAAUCUUGGAACCGGGAGAGGUGAGGGGUACUUCGGGGGUAGGAGUGAAAUCCUGUAAUCCUCGAGGGACCACCUGUGGCGAAGGCGCCUCACCAGAACGGCUUCGACAGUGAGGGACGAAAGCUGGGGGAGCAAACCGGAUUAGAUACCCGGGUAGUCCCAGCCGUAAACUAUGCGCGUUAGGUGUAUCGGUGACCACGAGUUACCGAGGUGCCGAAGGGAAACCGUGAAACGUGCCGCCUGGGAAGUACGGUCGCAAGGCUGAAACUUAAAGGAAUUGGCGGG